rnacentral:rRNA from 1 species
GACGAACGCUGGCGGCGUGCUUAACACAUGCAAGUCGAACGGAAAGGCCCUGCUUUUGUGGGGUGCUCGAGUGGCGAACGGGUGAGUAACACGUGAGUAACCUGCCCUUGACUUUGGGAUAACUUCAGGAAACUGGGGCUAAUACCGGAUAGGAGCUCCUGCUGCAUGGUGGGGGUUGGAAAGUUUCGGCGGUUGGGGAUGGACUCGCGGCUUAUCAGCUUGUUGGUGGGGUAGUGGCUUACCAAGGCUUUGACGGGUAGCCGGCCUGAGAGGGUGACCGGCCACAUUGGGACUUAGAUACGGCCCAGACUCCUACUGGAUGCAGCAGUGGGGAAUAAUGCACAAUGGGCGGAAGCCUGAUGCAGCAACGCCGCGUGCGGGAUUACGGCCUUCGGGUUGUACACCGCUUUCGCCUGUGACUAAGCGUGAGGGACGGAAAUGUGUAAAGAAGGACCGGCUAACUAAGUG